GAAAUAAAAUUUACACACUACACGCACCGACCCCCCCCCCCCCCCCAUUCACAAAAUCAUUAAGUUUUUCUGGACUGAUUUUACUGAAUCUUUAAUCUUGAACCUUUAUUUCCAACCUAGUACCAUUCUAGAUUACUGUACUAAUUACCAGACCAAUUCGUUCACUUUUAAGAGAGUUAUGAAUUUUUGGACAUUUGAGUUUCGAUUGGCGUGCUUGACAUGUACUGUAGAAAAAAAUUCUAACUCCCGAGCCCUUCACUCAAUCCUAAUGAAAUUUUGUGUAAAUGUACCUCGGACCCCAUUCUUAUUGUCUGCCAAAUAUGCAGCGGAUUGAACAAUUCAGAAGAAAUUCCUGAGAUCAAGCGGCGUUUAUAGUCUGUACGGGGACUUCAAAUUUACACAGUACAAGGGAUGUAAGCAGCCGCGUAAUAUUUCUGUUGCAUGUAUAUUUCUUGUUUUCCGUUUAGUCUGUAUCUACGAUAGCGUGUGAACUACUUAUGAAUGUUAAAACUGUGGAAAUUACUGUCAUCCAAUUUUUACCGAAUAAAUUUACGUGAUAC
rnacentral:sRNA from 1 species